GACGAACGCUGGCGGCGUGCUUAACACAUGCAAGUCGAACGAGUGGCGAACGGGUGAGUAAUACGUGGGUAACCUGCCCUCUUUUUGGGAUAAGCCUUGGAAACGGGUUCUAAUACCGACUAAAGGGGGAGGGGCUCGCGGCCUAUCAGCUUGUUGGUGGGGUGAUGGCCUACCAAGGCGGUGACGGGUAGCCGGCCUGAGAGGGUGACCGGCAAGAUUGUGACGGAGAUACUGCCCAGACACGUACGGGUGGGAGCAGUGGGGGAUAGUGCACAAUGGGCGAAGUCCUAAGGCAGCGACGCCGCGUGGGGGAUGGAGGCUUACGGGUUGUUAACCUCUUUCGCAAUCGAACCGUUAGCUGGAGAAGAAGCGCCGGCUAACUACGUGCCAGCCGCCGCGGUAAUAC
rnacentral:rRNA from 1 species